rnacentral:RNase_P_RNA from 1 species
CGUGUGGGCUGGACGGCCGCUUCCGCAACCGGGAGAGGAAAGUCCGGACUCCGCAGAGCAAGGAUGCCGGGUAAUUCCCGGGCGCCGCGAGGCGACGGAAAGUGCAGCAGAGAGAAUACCGCCGAUGGCGUCUUCGGACGCACAGGCAAGGGUGAAAGGGUGCGGCAAGAGCGCACCGCGCAGCUGGCAACAGGUGUGGCACGGCAAACCCCAUCCGGAGCAAGGCCAAGAAGGGACGCUGAUGCUGCUCGCAUAGUCCCGGGUAGGCCGCAUGAGGCUGUCGGUGACGGCAGUCCCAGAUGCAUGGUCGUCCUCGACAGAAUCCGGCUUACAGGCUCGCACGCUGC